GGUGCUAUGGUUGUCGUCAGCUCGUGUCGUGAGAUGUUGGGUUAAGUCCCGCAACGAGCGCAACCCCUAUUGUUAGUUGCCAUCAUUCAGUUGGGCACUCUAGCGAGACUGCCGGUAAUAAACCGGAGGAAGGUGGGGAUGACGUCAAAUCAUCAUGCCCCUUAUGACCUGGGCUACACACGUGCUACAAUGGUUGGUACAACGAGUUGCGAGUCGGUGACGGCGAGCUAAUCUCUUAAAGCCAAUCUCAGUUCGGAUUGUAGGCUGCAACUCGCCUACAUGAAGUCGGAACCGCUAGUAAUCGCGGAUCAGCACGCCGCGGUGAAUACGUUCCCGGGCCUU
rnacentral:rRNA from 1 species